CUCCUCUCAGAAUCGCACCUGGUGAGUUUCCAGUACUCUAUCAGCUCGGGUACAAGAGGGAAAGUCAAGCAGAGGCCUACCCAUUCCAUUCCUAGCUUGGACAGUGGCUAGUGACUGGAAGGCAAUCUGCUACAAGU